UAAUCUGCAGUUCAGUGGUAGGGCACUUGCCUAGCAUGCCAGAGGUCCUGGGUUCCAUUCCCAGCACGUCAA
rnacentral:tRNA from 1 species